rnacentral:lncRNA from 1 species
UCGUGUAAAAAGCUUUGUUCGGUUGAGCUGGUAUUGGCGGGUAUUGUGGUAUAAUCCACGAGUGUUAUCUCGAUGUGGAUGAAAUACUAGCCCGUGACAAAAGUGGUGUUCGUUUGGCCCACGCUUGUUUCCAAACCAUGGCCAAUCCCCAUGAAAGUCGUCUAUCCCAGCCUGGAAUCAAUCCACGAAUGAACAGUUGUGGAACUCAUCCCGGCCAACGGCGUAGAAGCAAUGACGGCGACACGAUUUGGAGGAAGUGACGGCGGCGACACAAGGCCCCUUCCACUGAUGUAUGCCCUCUUCGUUGGCGAUCUUCUCUCGUGUGAGUUCGCCAUUCCUCUGCUUUCUUAUUUUCUCCUCUCCCAUGUCUAUGUCCUAGGGUUUGGGUUUCUUGCCCGCGACGGCCACAACCGCCCAAAGAGAUGGUAGCUCACUCGUCCCUACCGAGACGUGUCGGAUGGCGUUCUGUAGGGCAGAGGCAACCUUCAGCGAGGUCGAGGAGAAGAGACUAGGCUGGGCGGCUUGGAUACUGAACUGCACCAUGGCAUCGUUCGACGAGGCAGUGAUGAGGGAGUCGUUGGAGCGGUGGGUCUGGGAAUCGGACUUCAGAUACAUGGGCUACUUGUCCUCUGCUGGCAGCACAAGGCUGGUCAUAGAAAGUUUGCCAUUGCAAGGAUAUGUGGUUUCCUUUGUCAGUAAGAUCUAGUCUUUGAGUUUCAGAGUUUCAGUGUUAGUUUUCGUCAGUUUCGUCAGUCACUGAUUGUGCCUUGGAAUCGAUCACGUCGCGUGUCGGCAAAAUUGUAGCCAUGACAGGGUACUUACUUACCUCUGGCAGACAGAGUGCCCAUGCGUGGUUGUUUGGUGGCUUAAUGUCACCAAGAAACUAGCUUAUUGCAAAGAAAUAUAAAUUCACGAAAGAAACAGUAGCCACCUGAUGACAACUAAGCUGAUAACAUGGUUUCCAUAGUCUCACAUAGGGACUGUCAAUUAAAUCGCUAAUGCCUGGACUAAAGGAUAGCAUCAGUUCAUGCACUGCCAGACAGUUUUCUAGCGGUGAGAUCCAAAACUUAUGUCCAGACAAUAUCUGAUUCUUGAUUAGACACAAAGUUGAACAUUCAUUGAUUGCCAAAUUCGUUCUGCUUAGGUAUCCAAUUAACAUAAUCGAUCAUUAACUCACCGUGAUGUGAAUUUGGCACAAUUUGUUUUUGCAACAGUUCUGUUCAAUGGACCAUUUUGAUUUGCAAGCCUUUGGUCUAUUAACACCUGUGCAAAAUCCACCAACAACAACAGGAUUGUGCUAUAUUUGAUAAGUUCAAGAUGCUCGUGCAGGUAGAGUCGUCGCCAUCGUCUUCUUCUUGGGAAAAAUCUGUUAUUGGCUUUGUAUAUUGAUAAGAAAACAACUACAACGCACCAAUAGUGUGCUGGGAACUAUGUACAUUUUCUGUUGGGGAGAACUAGCGAUGUUAUUCAUCCUAUUGCAAGCUGUUGCUUUGGCCGACCUGCCUUUUUGUUGUUACUUUGUGCACUUCUGCUUAUCUGCUUUUCACGGACUUGUAAUUCCCAGUCUUUCAUAUACAUUCCUUCCUUUGUCUUUUGUACGUUUUUAAAUUCUUGCAUUUUAAAGAGUGCCUUAGUUCCUAGUUGCAUGUGCAUGUUGGGUUGCUCUUGUGGGUUGUGGCAUAGAGAUGGGGAAUUGCUUCUGUCGGAGAGAAAAUUCUCCGGCCAGGUGGCGGAAUGCACCCUCCCUAAAUCCUAAGAUGAGGAGGGGCCUAAGCGUUUUGCCCGUCUGCUAAGCGAUGAAUGAACACAAGAACACACAAGGGUUUAGAGUAGUUCGGGCCGUCAGAGCGUAAUACCCUACUCCACUGUGUGAUGUAUUGAGCUUGAGAGCUUGUAUGAACUUGUGAGCUUGAGCUAGGUCUAAGUCAGCUUGAGUUGUAAUGUUGCGUGCCUCCCCUUUUAUAGCUAAAGGGGGGCACACACAAGGGUGCUGAGCCCCGACAUGCGGGCCCAGGGACAUAACGGAUGUAAUACUUGGAGCAACUAAUGCCAGUCGCCAGUGCAUUCUCCUUGCACCCUGAUAUCCGCAGCCUGUGUAGUAUUGUCGUGCAGCGGAAGCUUCACUGGCAACGUAUCGAGUGAUGAUGAGCACAGUGUAUGCCGUAGCAUGGGCGUACAACCUGCCACCGGAACGGACGGGCACGCCGCCUGCAGGAUGGCCUGGCCGCCGCCCGUAAGCAGAGUGGACAGGGCACAUUAAAUGCUGAGGCGGCACAUCGCUCGUCAGUGGAGUAGACAGGGCGUAUUUAAUGCUGAGGCGGCACAUCACCUGCCAGCUUGAUAGGCGGCGUGCCUCCUCCGCAAUAAAUACGCGGCCCAGAGGCCUUACGUCUGGCUCCGCCCACCGGCUUACGUCACGGGCAGUAAGCCACGUGGCAGCAUCGGGUCUCCGCCUGAGCGGGGAGUGGGAGCGCUCGUGGUAUGGUCCGGACACGUGUCAGCACCGGACCCCCGCCUGGCCUUGAUUAAGGCCUGGGUACGCUUUGCCUUGGAAUCCCGAGACCCCACUGUGAGUAGCCCGGACCUCUCCUGAGUGGUUCGGGACCCAUUCCAGGGUCUGGUUUGUACCUGUGGCGGUCUUGAACCUCACCCGAAGGACCGGACUGUGCAUCCAGGGGUCUGGCACUUUCCCGUGGGGGUCCGGACCCACCGUCGCCACCUCGGAGUAUAUCUUCUCCUCUGGCCACGUGGCGGCCCUGGAGCCGCCACGUGGAAGGGUCAGGUGCUGUUCACCACGCAACUAGAGAUAGUCGCGCGGGCACCGUAUCUUCAUAUUGUAGUAAGGGGUACCUCUUAUUCAGGGUACCGACAGCUUCCUUGCAAUGUUUAGCCUAUAUAUGGUUGCCCGAAAGAAAGGAGGAUUGUACUGUAAUUAUUAUUUCUACAGAUUAAAUAUUACUAAUUUCAAUAUUCUACUUUCCUUAUAGAUUGUACUCGUACCGGUUAGAGUUGGAGAAGACCAACCUCCACUUCCUAGGUUAAUUACUAGCCUGCAAGCAUGCUUGGGCAUUUCCUUAUGCUAUGAUAGUCACUAACUCGAUGCUUGAGCAUUUCCUAUUUUCACUUAAAAAACUAUGUGACACAAGGAUAAAAGUUGAGGAGAAGCUCGACUUCUUUCUAUACAUGAUAAGCCAUAACGCUUCAUUUGAGGAUCUGCAAGAAGAGUUUGGGCAUAGUAGUGACACAUUCCACCAUCAUAUAAAACAUUUUUUUGACAUAGUUGUCCCUUCCCUUGCCAAACAAUUUUUGAAGCCUCCUUCUCCAAUUCAAGUACAUCCGAAAAUUGAAAGAAAUCCUAGGUUCUAUCCUUACUUCAAGGUGAUGGCAUUUCUAUCCUUGCCCAAUAUCUAUUCAUUUUCUUCCAAAUUUUAAAAAUUCACAUAUAGUUUUCUUGUGCAGAACUGCAUCGGUGCAAUUGAUGGCACUCAUGUGCCCAUUACAAUUUCACCUGACAAAGCUGCUCCUUUUAGAAACAGGAAGGGAACUCUCAAUCAAGAAGUGCAUAUCCAUUAUUGGUACAAUGGAAGUUACAAAGGAGGAAAAAGCGAAAGCCUACAAUGUCUUCAAGGACCUUGACAAUAGGCAAAUUUUCUUGAGUGCAUGCGAUGAUGAUGCCGAGUCUGCACUAAUUUGGCUGAGAAACGAGAUGGCUUAGCUGGUAUGCUCUCUUCCUUUCCCUCUUCUCUUCCCACUAACUUUUCGAGGCUUGCAUCUCUUCCUAGGUUGAUUACUAGCCUGCAAGAAUGCUUGAGCAUUUCCUUCUGCUAUGCAGUCACUAACUAGAUGCUUGAACAUUUCCUAUUUUCUCUUAAAAAUCUAUUUGAACACCAUACUAAUAAUGAACUGCUUAUGGUUUAUUUGAGCAUUUCCUAUUUUCCCUUAUGGUUUAUUUCCUAUUUUCCUAUUUCAAUUACAAGAAAAGCACAUUCCUUUUAUGAACUGCUUCAUUUUUAUGUGAUUUAACUCGAAAAUACUAAUCUGGUCUCGCAUGUUUAUGUUUGAUAUGAAAUUACUAAAAUGUGUGGAGAAAUUAUAGUGUUUAACGCUUACAUUCUCUUGCAGGUGGAGUCGUCUGAAUUGCUUGUUGGAUAUCCAAUAUGUUAUGUUGUUCAAAUGAAAAAUUACUCAUCUCCCUUUGGUUUGUUUUUAAUCUAAAUGCACACACUCUAUUGUAAUGUAAUAAUAGACAAAUGAGCGACCAACUUCUGAUUUUGAUGCUUCAAAUUUCAUCUGCUAUCAUUCGGUCUAAACAUACGCAUAACUCAUAAGUUAUGAGAUAGGAAGGUGUUCUUCAAAUUUCACGGACCUGAUAUGAGGGGCACUAAUCUUUUUAUAUGCAUGCAACAAAUUAAUGUAUCCAUGUGGUGUAACCAAACAAUGGAAAAUUAGCCAUGUAUUAAAUCCCAGCUGUAA